GAUGAACGCUAGCGGCGUGCCUUAUGCAUGCAAGUCGAACGAGGUGCUUAAGUAGCAAUACGAGAGUAUCCUAGUGGCGAAUGGGUGAGUAACGCGUUGGUGACCUGCCCCAAAGUGAGGGAUAACAGUUCGAAAGGACUGCUAAUACCACAUGUGGUCAGCGGGCUUAGAAACCGCUGAAAAAAGAAGCAAUUCGCUUUGGGAGGGACCUGCGUCCCAUCAGCUUGUUGGUAGGGUAAUGGCCUACCAAGGCUGCGACGGGUAGGGGCCUGAGAGGGUGGCCCCCCACAUUGGCACUGACACACGGGCCAAACACCUACGGGUGGCAG
rnacentral:rRNA from 1 species